rnacentral:antisense_RNA from 1 species
GGAAGGCUGGCGGAAGCUGUGUCACAGCGCGCCCCUGCGCCCGCCACCCAGACAAGAGAGAUCUAAGUGGGAAAGGGGAGACAGAGACACGGACACACCCAGAGGGAGAGCGCCGUGUGGAGACAGAGGCUGAGGCCGACCUGCCGUGGCAGAAGCCAAGGAAGCCCGCAGAUGGGCAGCAGAGCAGAAGCUGGGACAGAGGCCCCGAGCGGCGGCGCCUUCUCGGUCCUCGGCAGAAGCCCGCCCUGCCUGCGCCUUCCUCUCGGACUGCCAUUCCCCGAGCCGGGAGAGAGGCCAUCUCUGCUGGGAAAGCCACUCAAAGUUUGUAACGCUUUGUGACCGCAGCCACAGGAUGCUAAUGAAGCCACCUGACUGUCCCCUCCUGAAGGGUGGGGCCUGAGCCUUGCCCCAUCUCGCAUACCCGGCUCCCUGAGCAUAUGUGGCCCUGCGCGCAGGGGCCCCAUGAGCUUGCCUGCUGCCCCUGCCUGCUUGUGCUGCCCGGGGCCAGCCUGGAAACCACCCUCCUUGGACUCACUGGUGAUCAGCUCCCCCGACAUCCUAGGAGGGGCCGCUGCCAGCGGAGAGGGACCCCUCACACCAUACAGACAAACCAACCCAGAGCACGUCACAGGCUGAUGUGUAGUGUGGCCCAAAGUAUGAAACUCUCAGAAGAAAAUGGGAUAAAACUUCAUGACCUUGGAUAUGGCAAUAGUUCCUUCACUAGGACACCAAAAGCAUGAGCAACAAGAGAAAAACAGAUCAACUGAACCUCAUUCAACUCAACACUUUUGUGCACCAAAGGACAACAUCGAGACAGUGAAAAAGACAACCUACAGACUGGGAGAAAACUCUGGACUGGUGAACCACACAUCUGAUGAGGGUGCAGUAUCCAGAAUAUACAAAGAGCUUUUACA